GACAGAGCACUUUUAUUUUGAAAUGGUGACCCCAAUGGCGUUCUCUGGUUCAGGCAUGCGCAGUGAGCAGAAGUCUCUUCCCGUCAUCGCUGUUCGAGGGUCUCCACGGUGAUCCGUCCAUCCCGCUCCUCCAGGCCUCAGUACCCGCGGUUUUACUCCAACUGGGUCGAACGCAGUGAAAAUAAAGUUGUUUGAGGAUAUUGGCGUAGAAAACAUCACAAAACUUGGAAUAUUAUUUUUUUUCUCCCCGCCAACUGCACAAGAUGAAGCUGUGGUGGGGCUGGACGUGUGUGCUGCUCCUCUCCCUCCUGGCUCUCUCUGAGUCCCAGGCUGAAGCUCAGGGAGACCUAGACCUGGAGAUGGAGGAAGCUAUGGUGGAAGACAUGGUAGAAGAUAGGGAAGACUCAGCAGAGAUAGAGGGAGAGGCGGAGAUGGAAGGGGAGGCGGAAGAGGAGAAGGGAACCGAUGCCAACGUCUCCUUCCAGGUCACCUACAAGACUCCUGUUCCCAUCGGAGAGGUGUACUUCUCAGAGACCUUUGAUGACGGCUCACUGGACAGGUGGCAGGUGUCAAAGACGAUGAAGGAAGACGCAGACGAUGAAAUUGCUAAAUACGAUGGUGAGAAACAGACCACCCCCCACUCUACACUCUCCACUUGUGUGUGUUUUAUGGACACACACACGUGUCUUUUUGCCAGUGUGUCAGUGAGAGACGACCCUGUUA